CCAGAGGCAAGGUAUGGUACUAUCAUAACCAAAGAAUUUUUUGCUCCAGAGGCAAGGUAUGGUACUGUUAUAACCAUAUUUUCAUUACUUGCAAGCAAUGGGUGGUAUGUAUUUGAGUUUGAUGUCAAGAGUACUUUUCUACAUGGUGCAGGAGCAAUGCACCUUUAUGAGCCUUUGGGCAUAAACCAUAAUAUAAGUUUCUUUAAAAACAAGCUCAUCAGAGAAUGUUAUACAUUACCCCCCCUUUAUUUUUUUCAAAAUAAUAAAGAGGCAUUGUGUUGA